CAGUUUUUUUUAGAAAAAAAGAAACAGAAAAUAAAGAACAAAAAAGUGAAAACCCUAAACUUCGUUCUUUUCUCAUUUCUCAGCCAUUCACUUCACUCAGCCUCCAUCCCCCUCUCUCUCCUCCUCUUCUCUAAUGUCUCUGCCUCUGGUUCUCUAAUCUCCAUUCUCUAUUCUCCAUUCACUCCUUCAUCUCCUCCAUUGAAGCGGCUCUGAGCUUUCACUCCUUCAUCUCCUCCAUUGAAGCGGCUCUGAGCUUUCACUCCUUCAUCUCCUCCAUUGAAGCGGCUCUGAGCUUUCACUCCUUCAUCUCCUAAUGUCCUCAGAUCGCAGAUUCAAUUUAGGGCUCUGCGUACUUCGACUUCUCCAUUGAAGCGGCUUCUGAGCUAUACGCCUAUACUCCUUCAUCUCCUCCAUUGAAGCGUACUUCGACUUCUCCAUUGAAGCGGCUCUGAGCUUUCACUCCUUCAUCUCCUACAUUGAAGGGGCUCUGAGCUUUCACUCCUUCAUCUCCUCCAUUGAAGCGUACUUCGGCUCUCCAUUGAAGCGGCUUUUGAGCUUUCACUGUUGAGGAGUGUAUGGAAUCUGGAAGUAGUGGGGAUAUGGAAGACUCAUCGGCUACAAGUCAAGCUCCUCCAAUUCCAAGUCCUCCUCCCGAGCCUUGGGAGUAUGACCCUUGUCCAAUGACGGAAAAUAAUGACCCCUUUGACCAGCAAAAUCAAUCAAACCAACCUUCUGAACCUGAUGAUGCUGCUGCCCCCUUAAGUGAAACUUCAAAAAAAUCUAGAAAAAGGCGCUCUCCUCAUUGGGAGCAUUUUAUAAAGAAGGAUGGAGAAAACAAGGCUGAAUGUAUCUAUUGUCAUACAUUCAUUGGUUGUGCAUCACUUCAAGGUACCUCCGGCAUGAAGAACCACAUAAAUUGGUGUAAGGAAUACCCCCCAAACAUUGAUCAAAAUCAGCAACUAUUGUCCCUUAGUCAACAAACUCUUGAUGGGAAUCUCGUGGAUAAAAAAAAAGGUAGACUUGAGCUGUGGAAAUUCAAUCAAGAAGAUAGUAGGAGAGCUCUGGCAAAGAUGGUGAUCAUGGAUGAAAUGUCUUUUAGAAUGGUGGAGCAUGAAGGUU